rnacentral:rRNA from 1 species
GUGGGGAAUCUUGCGCAAUGGGCGAAAGCCUGACGCAGCCAUGCCGCGUGGAUGAUGAAGGUCUUAGGAUUGUAAAAUCCUUUCACCGGUGAAGAUAAUGACUGUAGCCGGAGAAGAAGCCCCGGCUAACUUCGUGCCAGCAGCCGCGGUAAUACGAAGGGGGCUAGCGUUGCUCGGAUUUACUGGGCGUAAAGGGCGCGUAGGCGGACAUUUAAGUCAGGGGUGAAAUCCCGGGGCUCAACCUCGGAACUGCCUUUGAUACUGGGUGUCUUGAGUAUGAGAGAGGUGUGUGGAACUCCGAGUGUAGAGGUGAAAUUCGUAGAUAUUCGGAAGAACACCAGUGGCGAAGGCGACACACUGGCCCAAUACUGACGCUGAGGCGCGAAAGCGUGGGGAGCAAACAGGAUUAGAAACCCCAGUAGUCC